CUCCGAAUGUGGGUGAUAGAAGGCAGUGUGGUCUGAGUUCUGGGCAGUUGGCAUGGCUCCAGCCUCCCACAGAGGCACCAGGAAGAAGCCUCCCGUCCCAGUUUUUCUUAGACUCUGCAGGGCUGGGCACAGGGAGGGCCGGGCCCACGGGGCUUAGUUACUUCUUAUCGGCUUAUCUACUACUUCUUGUCUGAGGAUCCCAGGCAUGCUCAGGGCGCGGAGAACGCACUGAGUUCCAAGGACCAAGCCCUUUCCAGCAUCUCAGGAGUUGUGAUCCUCACGCUGGGCCUCUCCCAGACAGUUUGGGGCACUUGUGGAGCCAGAAAGCCGGUCUUCCUGUUCCUGGCUAGAACCCUCUUCUGCUAUAGUGACCUUGGCGACCCCAGUGCAGCUCUCCAGCCUCUGGCUCUUAGUCUCCGCCACCAUAGUGUCCCGGGUUCCUGCUCCCAAGAACAAAUCCAGAUGGAGGUGAAGGGAGACAAAGCCCUGCUCCUGGUGGAAUGGGAAGUGGGACUCACCUCUGUUUGUAAACAAGAAGGAAACUGAUUCCACCUGAACUUCACUGAAGCCUGAAUUAUCCUUUUUA
rnacentral:lncRNA from 1 species